rnacentral:misc_RNA from 1 species
GAUGAAGAACGCAGCGAAAUGCGAUAAGUAAUGUGAAUUGCAGAAUUCAGUGAAUCAUCGAAUCUUUGAACGCACCUUGCGCCCUUUGGCCAUUCCGAAGGGCAUGCCUGUUUGAGUAUCAUGAACACCUCAACUCUUUAUGGUUUUCCAUGAUGAGCUUGGACUCUGGGGGUUUUGCUGGCUCAUAGUCGGCUCCUCUAAAAUGAAUCAGCUUACCAGUGUUUGGUGGGUAUCAUGGGUGUGAUAACUAUCUACGCUUGUGGUUUUUCCACCAGGUAACCUUCAGCAGUGGAGGUUCGCUGGAGCUCAUAGAUGUCUCUCCUCAGUGAGGACAGCCCUUUGAAUGUUUGAUCUCAAAUCAGGUAGGACUACCCGCUGAACUUAAGCAUAUCAAUAAGCGGAGGA